UGAUUAGCUUAUCAUUUUGAAAUAUGUCCAUUGCAGGUUUUACUGGUUGUGGAGAGAGAGAUCAUUUUUCUAGAUUCUGUACUCCCUGGUGGUUUUGGAGAUGACUCGUACAAAACGAUAUUUAGGUUAAGAGAGAGGAAAAAGUUGCCCUUGUUCAGUGGCUUUUACCAAUAAUAUUUUACGCAAGAGCCAUGUUCUGUGGCUGCUGAUUUACACAAAAGCCUUGUUCUAUGGCUGAUGAUUUACAAAAAGCCUUGUUCUAUGGCUGAUGAUUUACAAAAAGCCUUGUUCUAUGGCUGAAAAUUAACAAAAAGCCUUGUUCUAUGGCUGAUGAUUUACAAAAAGCCUUGUUCUAUGGCUGAAAAUUAACAAAAAGCCUUGUUCUAUGGCUGAUAAUUUACAAAAAGCCUUGUUCUAUGGCUGAAAAUUAACAAAAAGCCUUGUUCUAUGGCUAAUGAUUUACAAAAAGCCUUGUUCUAUGGCUGAUGAUUUACAAAAAGCCUUGUUCUAUGGCUGCUUAUUUAUAGCUUUGUUCUUUUGUUUUAUGUUUACGCAGAAGCCUUGUUCGAUGGCUGUAGGAUUAGGUCUCAUUUUAUGAAACAAGACCAUGGAGAACAAUUGUAUGACUAUAGGUUUCAGUAAGUGUGUGUCCAUAAUUAAUUUUUUUUUCCAUUUUAUGUGCAGACAUAUUGCAGGCCAGAUUGACCCAAGACCCUGGACAGAGAAGACCGGCAGAAGUUUUGAUCACUUCCCUCAACAAACUUCUGGGAACUACUGUGGCAUCCUUAUACUCAUUUAUGCCCUCUGUAUCUGCACCAAUACCCCAUUUAUCUUCACAGAGAAUGAUGUGCCAUUAAUCCGCCAGUGGUGGUGCAUCUUACUGAUGGAAAGAUUUCAGAUUGAAGGACAUGGCCAGAGGUUUGCUUUCUGGACUGACAGGGCUAGCAGGCUAUUGCAAGGGACCCUUCAGCCACUUUUUAGGGUAUCUAGGUCAAUCACUUCAGACAUUCCACCUCAUGUGCAAACCAUGGUCAACCGCACAGCCCAAGAAAAGAAGCUGGUAGACUUUGCUGUACAAGACCAUGGAGUCCGGCAACAUUUGUUGGUAUGUUUGUCACACAUUAACAAUGUUUGUUAUUUACAAUUUGCACAUUGUUUUACCAUUACAGUGUUAUAAGCAAAUAAGCAAAAGGCCUUAUAAUUCAUGCUUGUUGUCACCAUGUGUUGGGGGACUUUUUUUUUUUUUUUUUAAUGUGGAUUUACAGUCCAAAACUUUUAACAUAAACUACUUUUGACAUUCAACUAGAAAUGUUAAAUGUUUGCUCAUGUUUUGAUGAAGUGCUUUUGGCACUUUGCCUUUUGACCUAAGGGUGUACUCUGUGGAAAAGAGCCUUCGAAGUGGCUCAGCAGAAUCCAGAAGGGAUCAUCUCUACGGGUGCCAGUGUACCUGGACUCGGAGGAAGAACAGGACUCCCUAUUUUUCUAUCUUCAGGAUGUCCUGAAAUCUGCACCAGUAGAAUUCCACAUUGAGGAUCAAGUGCAGUUC